rnacentral:misc_RNA from 1 species
UCAGUCAGUCAGUGCCCAGUCACAGAUCCGUAUAAUGUGGAGGUGCGUUCGUCUAGCAGCGCUUACCCUGCCCUUCUGCCUGUCCAUGGUGGGAGGUGCAGCAGAAAUAUUCAAGAACCCUGGCUUCGAGAGCACCAACCCCCUCAGUAGUUGGGAAUGUGUCUCCUGUCAUAUGGCAGUGGCCAGUGACCACACAGAGGGCAGACACUCACUCAAGGUCUCGGCACGGACUAAUUCUCGGUCAGGAAUCAGACAGAACGUUGCUCUCCGGGACAAAACCCGGUACUCCCUGCAGUCCUAUGUGAAGCAGCUAACCAACCCGACUGGGAAACUGUACCAGCAUUACAUGAUACAACUGGACGUGACCCGAAACAAUGGAUCUACUGAAUAUAUACGGACGGCCUUUCGUUCGGUCACAUCACAUGACGGAUGGGUUCAACUGCGUAGUGACUUUGUAUUCUAUAACGAAGGUUACAGGAGAGUGAGUCUGAGGUUGAAUAAUCCAGAUGCAGGCGUUGACUUCCUGGUUGAUCACAUGUCACUCACGGAAAUACCCGAGGACAAAGAUUGGAAAUCAAAGGCGGACAAGAGGAUAGACCAGCUCAGGAAGAACAAUAUCCAUUUUAACAUCCAAGUCCCGCCCCACGUGUCCUAUGCGGAUCUUGUGAUUCAGGUGGAUCUCGUGAAACAUGGCUUCUCUUUCGGGUCCCAAACGAACACGAAGACACUGUCUCUCGACCCACACUACGCUGAUCUGUUCUACUACCUGUUCAACUUCGCCACGGUCAACGACUACUACUGGCACACUGACCCCAAGCCGCUGCACAAUCCUGAUUACAGCGCAGUUUCGAAGACACUUGACGAGCUCCAUAAACAUGGAAUAAAUGUGCGAGGCCACACCAUUUUCUGGGGGACACACGAACAAUGGGUUCCAGACUGGGUGAGGGCCUUGACUCCCAGCCAGGUGGAGCAAGCUGUGGAUGAGCGGAUACAGUACAUUGUCAAGGACACCAAGGGGAAACUGCAGCAGUGGGAUGUGAACAACGAAUUGGUGCGUGGACACUGGUUCGAAGAAAAGACUAGAGACAGAUUCUACACUCACAAGAUGUUCGCCAAGGUGCACCAGGCAGAUCCCAGUGUCAAACUCUUCCUCAAUGACAACAAUGUUGUGGCCACCGGAUUUGCUACUACAGCAUACGUUGUCCAAGCAAAGGAGUUUAAGGCUGCCAAUGUGGGUCUGUACGGCCUGGGUAUCCAGUGUCAUUUCCUGCCAUACACGGCUCCUGAUCCAACUCUCAUGAAGAGACGCCUGGACAUGUUGGCCACGACUGGCCUGCCUCUGUGGGUCACCGAGUUGGACGUUGUGGCCAGUACCGAAAACAUCCGAGCUGACUGGUACGACACGGCACUGCGCAUGCUGUUCAGUCACCCGGAUGUUGAGGGAAUCAUACUCUGGGGAUUCUGGGAUUUACAUCACUGGAGGGGCAAGGAGGCAGCUCUUGUUAAUGGACCUAACUUUCAUGUUAACGCAGCAGGAAAGAGAUACAUCGACCUCCUCUACAAGGAAUGGAGUACACACGUCACACACAAGGUGUCAUCAGGGACACAGUUUAACGUCCGAGGUUUCCAUGGUGACUACAGGGUCGUCGUCAAAUACCAUGGCAACCCGGUGAUGCAGCAGACUUUUACCCUGGGGAAACAGGACAAACAAGUUAACAUCCAGAUCACCGACGUCAACCAUCACAUAAACAUUCCAACAACGAAGUCCCCCAUCGACUACCACCGCGUCAUUUCUCACCCCGUGGCACACAUCAACGAACACUCAAUGGGACAAAAGACCUCGGGCACCUCCAGUAAGCUGACCUGUGUCUCGGCUUUCUCGGGCUUCUCUCAAGUUGGGAAUGACAAGAUGACGGAGGUUGGAUGUGCUAGCGGUUACGUCCUGACCGGAUGCUUGGGGAAAAUAAAGGAUAAUCGUAAUACCCGAGAUGGGGAGGCAGUUUACAUGCAGAAUGGGAACCCUCUUUGUCAGACAUAUGAAGGGAGUCAUGCAACUGCACGCGACGGCGAGAUGUUGUAAACUGACAGGCCUGAAGUGUGACUACCGGAAGUCAGGGGUCUCACAAGGAGUGCUGGACCAGCGGCUGGAGACCCAGUGUCUCAACAACAUGUUCGCUACAGGUUGUACGUCUCACAACAGCAACGAGCACACCGAUGGGGCGUUUCCUUCUUCCCAUUCGUGUUUUGCCCAGAAUUCUGAAAACUAUGGC